rnacentral:rRNA from 1 species
GACGAACCGUGCGAACGUUAUUCGGAUUCACUGGGCUUAAAGGGCGCGUAGGCGGGCGGCUUUGUCAGGGGGGAAAUCUUUCGGCCCAACCGGAAGACUGCCUCUGAGACGGGCCGUCUCGAGGGAGGUAGGGGCAUGCGGAACUUCCGGUGGAGCGGUGAAAUGCGUAGAUAUCGGAAGGAACGCCGGUGGCGAAAGCGGCGUGCUGGACCUCUUCUGACGCUGAGGCGCGAAAGCCAGGGGAGCAAACGGG